rnacentral:lncRNA from 1 species
AUGACUGCUCCUUUGUCUGCUGGAUGUGAGCCCCAGUUUUCGCUCUCUGGGGCCAAACAGUGCUGUAGAGUGCCUGGGCUGUGUGCUAACCUUUCCUGCUCUUUGAUUCCAGGCCCAAGAGUGAGUACUCGGAGAUUGAUGAGGAGGAUGCUCAGGCUCCCUAUGACCCCAAUGGGAAGCCAGAGAGGUUUUAUUACAACGUGGAGUCCUGUGGUUCUCUGCGCCCGGAGACCAUUGUUCUCUCUGCGCUGUCUGGCCUGAAGAAGAAACUGAGCGACCUCCAGACCCAGCUGAGCCACGAGAUUCAGAGCGACGUCCUCACUAUAAACUGAGAUGACCCCUUGCGAGAGAGUGCUCAGGUGUGAGUGAGGCAGAAGGUUCCUGGCUCUGCCCAGCAGCACUCUGGGCUGAGGCUUUUACCUCCCUAUCUCCCUCUGCCUCUCCUGGCCCAGCUGUGCUGGUUGGUGACACCUCUUCCCUGGCCCCCCUUCCCAGGGAAAGCCAGCAUGAUGUGUAGGGUAAAGCAGGAAUGGAAUCGGUGAGCAUCUUCACUGGAACAGGCUUUGUCUCUAAGUGAUCCCAGAGUUUUAGGCCAGAGUUUUGGAUCCUGGCCAUGUGGUGUUUGGCAUUGGGAAGAGGUGUACCUCAGUUACACAACCCUACCUUAUUUGCAUGUCCAGUCCUUCUGUGCUGAAUAAAGCCUUACCUCCUCUGUGUUUUGUCAUCCCUGAAAGCUCGUCUGGGGCUGCAGGAGGAGAUGUCAUGUCAUUUACUUCUCUCCAACAGACAUUAACUUAAUGAGAUCUGCUUUGGAGGGAGCAUAGCUCUCUACCGCUGAUUGCUGCUCUUGACAUAAUCUCCUAAGGAGACCAGAAUCCCCUCUAGCAGGUAGCCUGUCGUUUACCGAUCCAGCACUACAUUUAAAGCAGAUGUUUGAGGCUGGGCUGGUAAGCGAGAUGCUGCAGAAGGCAGUGCUGCAGGGAAGCCCAGAUGAGCCAGGCAGGCUCAGCUGUAUUUAAAGACUCCUUUGGAGCAGACUUUACCCAUGCACUAUAUAAUCUUUAUGUUAGGUGCUGGGAUGGCAGGGAGUCCAUCAUUAAUAACCCCUGGCUGACAACUUCCACUGUGCCUGCAGCCCCAAGGUGGGUUGUGUGCUGGGCUGGAGCUUGGUGCAGCCAAACCGUGACCACCGUGGCAGUGGCUGAAGGGCUCCAGUGAUUGCCUGGCUCACCCUUCUCAUAG